rnacentral:rRNA from 1 species
AUGGAAGAACCGAUCACAGAAGAGGAGGUACAGAACAUCAUCAAUGAUUUGGACGGGUGCCGGGCACCUGGCCCAGACGGGUUCACAGCCAUGUUCUACAAACAGUGUUGGUCGCUGAUUAAGUCUGAUCUGAUCAGUGCGCUCCCGGCGGUCCAGAACAAUUCCUCGGCCUACUUGCAUCGCCUCAAUCAGGCCACCAUCGUGUUGAUACCGAAGAAUGAGGAGGCCAUCACCGCAAAAGACUUCAGGCCCAUUAGCCUAGUGUGCAGCUUUCUAAGCUGGUCGCUAAAAUCAUGGCAAACAGACCCCAGAAGCGGAUGA